UACGGAGGGUGCGAGCGUUAUUCGGAAUUACUGGGCGUAAAGCGCGUGCAGGCAGGAAGGUAAGUCUGAUGUGAAAGCCCCGGGCUUAACCCGGGAAGUGCAUUGGAAACUGCUUUUCUUGAGUACUGGAGAGGAAGGGAGAAUUCCCGGUGUAGAGGUGAAAUUCGUAGAGAUCGGGAGGAACACCAGUGGCGAAGGCGCCCUUCUGGACAGUUACUGACGCUGAGACGCGAAAGCGUGGGGAGCAAACAGGAUUAGAUACCCUGGUAGUCCACGCUGUAAACGAUGAUCACUAGGUGUAGCGGGUACUCAUUCCUGCUGUGCCGUAGCUAACGCGUUAAGUGAUCCGCCUGGGGACUACGGUCGCAAGACUAAA
rnacentral:rRNA from 1 species